rnacentral:misc_RNA from 1 species
GCAUUGGCAAUUAUCAAGGUCCUGUAAAGAGAAAUUAUUUUAGAGACAAACCAAUCAUGGAACAAAUGAAAAGCAACCAAGGACAAAAUCACAAACAACCAAAAAACUGGUGUUCUGUGUCUAGGAACCAGGAAAGAGCUGUAGACUUGUCAUAUUUCACUGAUUAAGAUAAUCUUAGAAAGACAUGAAUAUUGGAAUUCCAGAAAAAGAUAAUCCUAGCUCAUCCUAAUUUAAAAAGUUCAAAAGGAACUUCGAUCAAAUGCAUCACUAUUGCUAUGCUACCAUACACUGUAAUCUUCUUCUCUCACUUUCGUUCUCAUUCUUUCACUCCUAAUCCUUCUUUAUUAUAACUUAUAGUCCUACAGCUCCAUAUUGUUAAAACUAAUAUUUAUUCAUAAAGUCAUUUACGUCAUCCUCCAGGGAAGCAUCUUUGGAGGGCCAAUGUCCAUCUGAUGGAUGCUUGGACACUUGGGGCACUACCCCUUUAAAAGGAAUUUGGCAACAAUAUCCCCCGGUACAAUAAUGAAUUCCAAGUCAAAAUUUAAAAUCAAAGGCAACUAUGAGGCAAACUUGCCUUCCAAAGAUAAGGGCAGUUAGUGCAGUGGUGCCAGAGGAGAUAUCAAGUUCGCUAUCAUCUGCAAAUGCAUAAUCAGCUUUCACAAAAGCACUCCUAAUUGCCUUCUCCAUGCAAAUUGGAAAAUGAGGGUCCUCAAUUAUGAACCUGAGAAUAUUAUUUCUAACAAAAGAUGCUGCAUCAGUACCUCCAUGCCCAUCAAAUACCUGUGCACAUGUAUCAAUAAGUAUCGGUUAAUGUUAGUGAAUAUGGCCAGCUAAGGCAACAAAUUUUUAACAACUUACCAAAGUCACAACUUUUGCUACAAAAUUGACGAGUGCUGCUAAAUACAACUUCUAUAUUAGAAAUGAAGUGAAAGAAUGAUAAAAUAAGUGCUUAUAUCAUUAAAAAUAAAUCAACAGAACAAACGCUGUAUGAAUUGCAAUUUGUCCCCUUUCAAUUACUUCUGAUCAAAGAAAUUAUCCAUCUAGAUUUUUUCGUGAUUAACUAGGAAGUUUAGUAUAUCCAGAAGCUAGAUGGUAGGAAAAUGACAUACUCACCCCAUAGAAGGCUCCAGGAGAGGGGAAAUUGGACGUUUCACCUAGAUGUUCAAUAAGAUUAUCUAUACAGACAUGUUCAUCCUCCAUAUACUGUUUAGGCCCUCCUUCAGCACAGCUCCCUGAUCGGAACACUGGUAGAAAAUUUGAUUUUUCAUCGGAAGGCGACUUGUUGACAUCAAGCCCAACAUCCAUUGCCAGACCAGCGUCAUCCAGCAUCCUCAUAGAACUCAUACUAUGCCGCAUAACCGAGAGGUUCCGUGGAGGUUUCCCAUUUGCAGUUUGUUUCAGAUUAUCUAAAUUCUCCGAGUUCGGAUUUUCCAUAGAUGGUACAUUGUCCUUACUAUAACCACCUUCUAAUACAGUAAACGGAGGUGAAAGAUCCAUACCAGCGGCCAUAUCCCCUUCCCAGUCAUAUAUCAAGUGUUUUCUGCGAAUACAGUUAAAGCAAACAACUUUAACUUUACCCUUAAAUCCUCUGAUCUAUUAAAAUAGCCUAAAAUAUAAGCUUCACAAAUCAGCCAAAAUGACGAGUUACACACUUCAAGAAAAGGAAUUCCUUCAGAUAUCAGACAACUAUGCAAAGAAUAAUCAGGAGGCAAACUCAAAGCUUCACGGAACAAAUUCUCAAAUCUUCAACUAGUCCCAGAUCACAGAAUCAUUCUCAAUUAUUCACAAUUUCCAAGAAAAAAUACCAAAUUAUGCGAAAUCUGCAGUAAUUCAGUGACACAAAGCGAAGAAAAAUCCACCGAUUAAACCGAGAAACACGAGAAAGAAUUCCGGAAAUGCUACAAGAAAUAAGCAAAAACACAGGGAAAGAAAAAGGGGCACACAAUAUGCAAAAAUUUGGAGGAGAAGGGAGUGCAGGAAAAAAAGAAAAGAAAACAAAAGAGAAUUCUCACAUACGAAGAUGAUGUUGAUUCCUUAUUCCUCUUUCUAUGUCAGAUCAUCGAAGAACCCUAAAGAGAGACGUCUGAGAGGAGGGGCGAGAGAUAGAGAGAAUCAAAAGCAGUUCAAAAAGAGAGGAGAAAAUCUGCAUCGCAGAGAGAGAACUAAAUUGUUGGCUUUGGGUUGGCUACUGGCGAUUCCAGGUAAUCCGGUGGAUCAUCUAGCUGAUAGCCCACCGACACGUGGUAGGAUAUGGUUGGUGAAUGUUGUGGUUGACGGGAUGGUGCCGCCAUUGAGUCCCAGCCGUUGGAUCUCAGAAAAGCAGCUGUAAGGGCGACGCAAGUGCCUUUCCUUUUAUGGGAGGUUUGGUUCGGUUAACGGUCGUUGAAGGAGCCUUGGAUUCCAGUAGUGACGCGUCGGUGUUUCAUUGGUGUAAACUAAAAAAAAAUUUCGGCUAGGAUGAGCGGGUUGUCAACUUUUUCACUCCUAGUAGUCUACUAGUCCCAUUGAAAAAUUUCUUAGCCCUUUUCUUUUAUGGUCAUAACAGAGACUUCUAUUAUUGUCUUGUUGAUUCAUUUAGAUGGCUUAAUAAGGAGGCAAUGGAGGUUUAAU